CCUACGGGAGGCAGCAGUGGGGGAUAUUGCACAAUGGGGGAAACCCUGAUGCAGCGACGCCGCGUGUGGGAAGACGGUCCUCUGGAUUGUAAACCACUGUCCUCAGGGACGAAGAUGACGGUACUUGGGGAGGAAGCUUCGGCUAACUACGUGCCAGCAGCCGCGGUAAUACGUAGGGAGCGAGCGUUGUCCGGAAUUACUGGGUGUAAAGGGAGCGUAGGCGGGGAUGAAAGUUGGGUGUCAAAACUACCGGCUCAACUGGUAGUCGCACUCAAAACUGCAGCUCUUGAGUGAAGUAGAGGCAGGCGGAAUUCCUAGUGUAGCGGUGAAAUGCGUAGAUAUUAGGAAGAACGCCGGUGGCGAAGGCGGCCUGCUAAACUUUUACUGACGCUGAGGCUCGAAAGUGUGGGGAGCAAACAGGAUUAGAUACCCCUGUAGUC
rnacentral:rRNA from 1 species